rnacentral:rRNA from 1 species
AUACGGAGGAUGCGAGCGUUAUCCGGAUUUAUUGGGUUUAAAGGGUGCGCAGGCGGCCUGUAAAGUCUUCGGUGAAACUGCGGGGCUCAACCCCGCCGAGCCGAGGAAACUUGCGGGCUAGAGUUCGGCAGAGGCAUGCGGAACGCGCGGUGUAGCGGUGAAAUGCAUAGAUAUCGCGCAGAACUCCGAUUGCGAAGGCAGCGUGCCAUGCCGCGACAGACGCUGAGGCACGAAAGCGCGGGGAUCGAACAGGAUUAGAUACCCUGGUAGUCCGCGCAGUAAACGAUGAGCGCCAGAUAUGCGGACCGAUUGGGGACUGCGUGUCACAGCGAAAGCGUUAAGCGCUCCACCUGGGGAGUACGCCGGCAACGGUGAA